UUGCGAUCGGUCUUGGGGCUGCCCCAUACAGGGUGAUGAGCGUUUAUGUCGCCAAUUACCAGAAAAGGCGGACCUAAGUCGUCGAAGACAGACAUCAGGUCAGUCUUUGAAACCGGUACCGAUGGUGGUAUGUAGAGACUAACAACGGUAAGAGUGAUCUUGCCGAAACGAACUUUACACUUUACGCAGUCAAAAGGCAGACACUGUGACAUUGGCACAACUGCAGACACGAGGUCCAGGCGGACAAACAAGACACUCCUAUAAAUGUCCGCGUCGCCCUGAGUAACCAUAGCAUACCCGCUUAUGCUAAAGUCCUUCUUGACCUGCAGGCAGCUCGACAGGGUCAAGCGCAAGUGAAGGACCAGGUGCUGCUGAUCCAAGUCCCAUCCAUCCAUGAAACGGCAUCAAACAAUGUACGUGUGUGCACGGCAAUUUUGCUGAGAGACCUGGUUUUUACACUAAUGCCUUUACGACGCCUCUGGCAAAUUAGGA